rnacentral:rRNA from 1 species
CAGUCGCCACGGGAAUACAGAGGGUGCGAGCGUUAAUCGGAUUUACUGGGCGUAAAGCGUGCGUAGGCGGCUUCUUAAGUCGGAUGUGAAAUCCCUGAGCUUAACUUAGGAAUUGCAUUCGAUACUGGGAAGCUAGAGUAUGGGAGAGGAUGGUAGAAUUCCAGGUGUAGCGGUGAAAUGCGUAGAGAUCUGGAGGAAUACCGAUGGCGAAGGCAGCCAUCUGGCCUAAUACUGACGCUGAGGUACGAAAGCAUGGGGAGCAAACAGGAUUAGAUACCCGUGUAGUCCCUGUCUUUUAUAA